AAGAACUUAGGAGCUAAGAGGGAGUGCAAGUGCAGAAUCCUAAAAAAAAAAAAAGAAAGGGUAAUGGGAGCAGUCCAUAUACACAUACAGAGAUAGGGAACGAGGAGUUGCAAAAAGAAAAGAGCAGACUAGUGGGCAUAUCCAACAAUAAGGGAAGUUGGCAUACUCAUAGGUCUGUGUAGAACACACUAUUUAGAGGUUAGGAUCCUUUAUGGGAUCAAACUCAAUCCAUAGACAAUAACUUACAUAUUGCCAUGUUUUGAACUGUAAAUCAUACACAAAAGGGAGAUAGGAAAUAUUGAUUCAUAGCAGAAACAAGCAAAAGGAAAUCAACAUGCUAGUUUAAGAAUUUAACUUUGCAAAAGUAGUAAAGUAGAAAUAGAUGCAAAAAGAUUUAAGUAAACACAUUGCGGUGAUGCUGAAGUCAAAUCAGGACAUACCAGUUUUAAAAAAACAAAUAGGGAAAAACAUUAGUCUUUUGAAAGUCAAAAUGCAAACAAGAAGGGAGAAUUCUAUUAUGAGUUCAGAAGAGAUUGUGAAUUAUAAAGUGAAUGAAUAUUAAAUCAUGUGUUAUGUGUUAAUGAGUCUUGCCUUUUAUAGUGUGGAAACCAAGUAGAAAUAAGGUAAGAAAAUAAUUGAAGAGCUGAUUGUCAAUCAAUUGCACAUGACUCCCUUUAAUUAAGGGAUUCAGAUCUAAACCGGUGAAAACCAUUUAAGGAAAGCAAUUGAAUAAACAAUUUGUGUGCAAUAUGCAAUUAAGGGCAGAUACAUAAACGGUUAUUUAAGGACAUGGUUUUGAAAUACACGGUUUGUGCAAAUAAGGUAAGAAGAUCAAUUAACAAUGGGAAAUCAAAAGGGGCCUGAGAUUUUGUGUGGAUGAACCAAGUUAGAAAAGAUGAAGAAGGGUUUUACUUAAGUCAAGUCACAGAGAUAAUCAGUAAACAAAUGGAAAAAAAUCAAUUAGGCUAUAUUAAUGAGGAAGCUUGAACUAAUUGCAAAUUUGAAAACCAUUUAGAUGGAAACUCAUCAUAUAUAAAGAGCAUGUGAGCAUGUUAAGUAUGAAAGAAAAAUUGUCAUGUCACUGAAACAUUAGUAGAAAAAUCCAAUGUAGAAUAGUUUAGUAAAAGGGUCAGAAUCAUAUGAAAACAAGGAAGUCCAAACUAAAUUCAAAGACUCGAAGAGUUAGGGGUUCUAAAAAUAAAACCCUAGUUCAAUCAAAUAUAUGAUCAAACUUGGCAGAAUCCCCAAGUUCUGGGAUUUCCACCUUGAGUCAAGUACAUAGAUGAGAAGGCAAGUAGUCAAAACAGGUUCAGUGGUUUCAGAGAAGAACUGAAAACUGUUGUAUGCUUCUAUCAGCAAUAGAAACCCAUGAGAAAAUAUGAUAUCAAAAUAACAGGCAGAACACUGUUGAAGUACUCAAAGAAAAAAUAGAGGAAAAACAGUGAUAGGAACAAUAAACAUGCUUAAGAAGUUUUUCAUAAGAAACUUAAACAGUGCUUAGUAAAAGGAAAGUAAGGAAACUUUUGAACUUAGCAGGAAAGUACAGUAGGAAAAACAUGCUGGAACAUAGUAGAAGAAAAAAAAACAAGAACAUAAUAGAAAAGCAUAUGAGAACAUAGUAUAGAAAAUACAAUAAAAGAACAUAUAUGAACAGGGUAUAGAGAACACAGUAGAAGGACAUACGUGAUAGAAGACAUAAGAACACAACAGAAAAGCAUACGAGACCAUAAUAUAGGAACACAUAGUAAGAGCAGGAUAUAAGAACAUGAUGCAAGAACACAGUAGAGACAAAUACACAUGAAUGACAAAGGAAAAAUCAUAAAAAUAUUUAAACACUUUUCAAAAAAUCCUAAAUCUAAGAAAAAAGGUUUUUUGAAAGAAAAGUUAGGAGAAUCGUUUGAAAACUUCAAGGAAAGCACAAACACACAACAACUUUAAGAAAUCAUAGAAAACCUCGAAGGUUGGGGUUUCAGAAGAACCCUAGAGAUGAGAAAGGCUUUGAAAGGUCACCGAUCGGAGUCAGAGAGGUCUGAAGUAGGCUUAAAAAACCUUGAUACGCCAGAGCAAGGCCGGAAAUGACCCUGAGACCUCGAAUUGAUAGUGGUGUAGGUUCAACCCUUCAUAGUAAGGCCUCGAAUCUUCAGGUAUUAGGUACAUAAGAGCACCAGGAGGUUGAUGUAAUACUCUUAUAGCUUUGAUGGCCAUAGAUUCCUGUGGAUUUUAGGGCGAAGGUGGAUAGGGUUAGAGAAGGAUGGAGAGUGUCUGAGAGAAGGGGAGGGUUUCAGAGGCGG
rnacentral:lncRNA from 1 species